rnacentral:rRNA from 1 species
GAGUCAUUGGGACUACGCGAUAAACCUAAAGGCGCAAUGAAAGUAAAGGCCCGCCUCGCGCGGGCCGAGGGAGGAUGGGUCCGUCCUAGGGCGGGCCCCGCACUCCCGGGGCGUCCCGUUCUCAUCGCGAGAAGAGGCGCACCCAGAGCGUACACGCUGGGACCCGAAAGAUGGUGAACUAUGCCUGGUCAGGACGAAGUCAGGGGAAACCCUGAUGGAGGUCCGUAGCGAUUCUGACGUGCAAAUCGAUCGUCGGAACUGGGUAUAGGGGCGAAAGACUAAUCGAACCUUCUAGUAGCUGGUUCCCUCCGAAGUUUCCCUCAGGAUAGCUGGCGCUCGCCUUUGCGAGUCUCAUUCGGUAAAGCGAAUGAUUAGAGGCAUUGGGGUCGAAACGGCCUCAACCUAUUCUCAAACUUUAAAUGGGUGAGAUCUCCGGCUUGCUUAAAGCAUGAAGCCGCGAGAAAUAAUUACACGGAUCGAGAGUGCCAAGUGGGCCACUUUUGGUAAGCAGAACUGGCGCUGUGGGAUGAACCAAACGCAGAGUUAAAGCGCCAAAAUCGACGCUUAUGGGACACCAUGAAAGGCGUUGGUAACUUAAGACAGCA